UUUAUGGAGAGUUUGAUCCUGGCUCAGGACGAACGCUGGCGGCGUGCCUAAUACAUGCAAGUCGAGCGGACUAAUGGGAGCUUGCUCCCAGAGGUUAGCGGCGAACGGGUGAGUAACACGUGGGCAACCUGCCCUGUAGACUGGGAUAACAUCGAGAAAUCGGUGCUAAUACCGGAUAAUAAUAGGAACUGCAUAGUUCUCAUUUAAAAGAUGGCUCCGGCUAUCACUACAGGAUGGGCCCGCGACGCAUUAGCUAGUUGGUAAGGUAACGGCUUACCAAGGCGACGAUGCGUAGCCGACCUGAGAGGGUGAUCGGCCACACUGGGAC
rnacentral:rRNA from 1 species